rnacentral:rRNA from 1 species
UACGUAGGGUGCAAGCGUUACUCGGCAUUACUGGGCGUAAAGCGUGCGCAGGCGGUUAUGUAAGACAGGGGUGAAAUCCCAGGGCUUAACCUUGGAACUGCAUUUGUGACUGCAUAGCUAGAGUACGGUAGAGGGGGAUGGAAUUCCGCGUGUAGCAGUGAAAUGCGUAGAUAUGCGGAGGAACACCGAUGGCGAAGGCAAUCCCCUGGACCUGUACUGACGCUCAUGCACGAAAGCGUGGGGAGCAAACAGG